GAUGAACGCUGGCGGCAGGCCUAACACAUGCAAGUCGAGCGGAUGAGUGGAGCUUGCUCCAUGAUUCAGCGGCGGACGGGUGAGUAAUGCCUAGGAAUCUGCCUGGUAGUGGGGGACAACGUUUCGAAAGGAACGCUAAUACCGCAUACGUCCUACGGGAGAAAGCAGGGGACCUUCGGGCCUUGCGCUAUCAGAUGAGCCUAGGUCGGAUUAGCUAGUAGGUGAGGUAAUGGCUCACCUAGGCGACGAUCUGUAGCUGGUCUGAGAGGACGACCAGCCACACUGGGACUGAGACACGGCCCAGACUCCUACGGGAGGCAGCAGUGGGGAAUUUUGGACAAUGGGCGCAAGCCUGAUCCAGCAAUGCCGCGUGCAGGAUGAGGGCC
rnacentral:rRNA from 1 species